rnacentral:lncRNA from 1 species
AUGGAGCUGUGUUGGGGAGGUUCAGGUGGGUGUGAGGAAAAGGGUCUGCCCCAGAGCACAGUGUGCAUGGCUCUGAGCUGCUGGAGUUCAGGGAGCACUGGGACACUGUACUCAGACAUUGAGAUAGAAUUUUUGAGUGGUCCUGUGUUGGACUCAGUAGCCAUUGAGGGUGCCUUCAAACUUGGGAUAUUCUGCAAUCCCUCGGCCACAGUAAGAAGCUUUAUAAUGAGUGUUGGCGUGACUCACACAGGAGGACAUAAUGGCCCAGUGACAGUGAUGGGAGGUGGGAAGAUGUUGAACAUCACUGUGGUCCCACACCACUGCCCUUCUUACAUGUCCAGGUGUCUGAAGAGCCACAGCUUGUCGCUGAGAAAAGUGUGGUUAAAUGGAACUCUCAACGUUUUGUGUUGGUUUUUGUUUUGUUUUGUUUUGUUUUUAAACCCACCAGAAAACAGAAUCCAGCAUUUAUCCUGUCCAUGUCAGCAAAACUUGCAGGAGGAGGAUGGAAAGCUACUCAGAAACAUCAUCCUCCAGACACAGCAAACAGUGGAUGAGUGCUGCAAUCCAUCCAUGUGGGCUUUCAGUGUUGAGUCCUUUGUGCCAGAGCUUCCCACUGCACUUCAGACCAGGCUAUGGGAAACGUGUCUCAUGGAGGAAAACAAAACUCUGUUUCCCUUCCUGUUCCUGCUGACUCUCAGCACCAUCACACCAUGUUCUUCCUGCACAGCUGGCAUGAGAACAAUGCCAGUACAGGCCAGUGCUAAAAGACCAGAUCCAUUAAGAACUGAAAAGAACUUGGAAACUGUGGUGAUGGACACUGUAUACACAGAAAGUGGCUUCAGAUGGCUUUUGGAUGUGUUGGCCCCAUUUGUGGACAAGGAGAAAGCCCAUGAUAUAGCUAGAUACAGGAGAAGUCUCGUUUUGACAUCAAACCAAUCCUUGUCAUCCUGA